AGAGUUUGAUCAUGGCUCAGGAUGAACGCUGGCGGCGUGCCUAAUACAUGCAAGUCGAGCGAACCACUUCGGUGGUGAGCGGCGAACGGGUGAGUAACACGUAGGUGAUCUGCCCAUCAGACGGGGACAACGAUUGGAAACGAUCGCUAAUACCGGAUAGGACGAAAGUUUAAAGGUGCUUCUGGCACCGCUGAUGGAUGAGCCUGCGGCGCAUUAGCUAGUUGGUAGGGUAAAGGCCUACCAAGGCGACGAUGCGUAGCCGACCUGAGAGGGUGAACGGCCACACUGGGACUGAGACACGGCCCAGACUCCUACGGGAGGCAGCAGUAGGGAAUCUUCGGCAAUGGGCGAAAGCCUGACCGAGCAACGCCGCGUGAAUGAUGAAGGCCUUCGGGUUGUAAAAUUCUGUUAUAAGGGAAGAACGACUUUAGUAGGAAAUGGCUAGAGUGUGACGGUACCUUAUGAGAAAGCCACGGCUAACUACGUG
rnacentral:rRNA from 1 species